AAAAACUUCUUUGCAGAAAGGGUUGUUAAGCACUGGAACAGGCUCCCCAAGGAGGUGGUUGAGUCACCAUCCCUGAAUGUGUUUAAAAAUGGUUUGGAUGUGGUGCUCGGGGACAUGAUUUAGCAGUAGGUUGUUAGAGUAGUGUGGUUAGAUUGUGGUUGGACUUGAUGAUCUUGAAAGUCCUUUCCAACCCGAGCAAUUCUAUGAUUCUAUACAUUCCCUGUUAGGAAUCAGAUCAUGAAUUUGUACCAAAUUGUAGAAAAUCCUAACGUUGCAGAUCGUCCUCUUUGCUACAAGGCUGCCAUUCCCUUUCCCCUCCAAAACAGCUGAAGCAUCUGAAAUAGCAGCCGUUGAAUUUCUUUUCCUUGUACACAGCUUCUUUCUAGGAGAAAUUGGACUGUUCAGUACUCACUUGCUGGAUGGGUUCUGCUGCGUUAUGAUACUAACUUUUGGCAUCAUUUCAAACCAGGUGGGAUACUCAUGAUUCUAUGAUUCUGUCGCUGUGCUCACCGGCCACAUGCAGCAGCUGUCUGCAGCCUGCCUUCUCCUCCUGCCCCACCAUGAUGCCCACCCGAGCUGGAGCAGCCCCCCCAGCCCUACACCUCACCCUCCUAUGGCACCGCAUCCCAGUGCACAGCAGUGGAAGGCGAGGGAGGGGCUUCAAAGGUGCUGGUCGCACAAUGGAGUUGGAGUAACAAGCUGCUGACAGAUUUAUAGGCUUCAGUCCAAUUAAAGUGCUGUUUAUUGCUUUUAGUAGGGGCCUGUUUGUUUCUAAUUUUAGAAGAAGGUUGGGGAAGUGACUGGAAUUGUGAGUACGGGACCUGAGAUUUUUCACUAGGGCUACUGCUGCUAUUAAUUGGUAGGUGUUAUUGAUAAUUGUUUAGACUGGGACCUCAAUCCACCAUGGCAGGGCAGAAAUUCAGGACAGCACCCAAACAGCAGUGAAAGGGCUUGGCUUUGCUCCUCCCGCCUUGCUACAUCCGCUGAUUUUGGUGUGUGUUUGACCAGCCACUUUGUAAAGAGCUCCCGUUGUUCCCCACGCAUCUCUUCUGCUCUCUCAAGUUUGUUCAUUUUAUCUGCUCCUUUUGAAGAGAAUAAAAAGUGCCGCAGUGUGAAUGAUUGUUCCUAUCUCUGGGCAGCAGUGAUAGGAACCUUGGGCCAAUUGCCAGAAGGAAGUGGAGAAAUAACACAUUUUGCUUGAGAGAUGAAAUCGGAGCUGGAAUCAGGACUCCUGUGUUGUGCCCCUAAAUUUGUGCAGUUCUGCUGUGCAGUGGUGGGAAGCCCCUUUGAUGUCAGCUUCCCACUGUCCUGAAAAGCUGCAAUAUAAAGUUAUUGUAAAACUUGGUUAUUUGUUUGUGCGGUACUUUGAGUGCCGCUGGUGAAAGGCACUGGAUAACUGCAUGGUUCCUUGUGGUUUGUAAAACAUGCGUUGAUCACCAUUUAUUUACCAGAAGGCAAUGACAGUGAGUUUUUAACAGAGGCUCGACCCAGACACAGCAUGCUUACGUUUCCAGGUCCUGGGGAAGUCUGAGUUCUGAAUGUGCAUCCAAGGCCAGCAUCUUUGCGGAAGGCAGAAGGAAAACCACAUCCCAGUAUGCCAGUCUUGGGAUCAGGAGGUCCCAUCCCCUGCAGCUGGGGUUUGACCUGGAAUUGGGGCGUCCCAUAAGAACUCAUCUUGGAUGGAGACAGCCACCAGAGCCCAGUGAGCCUCACCUUUCCUUCCUGUGCCCUGAGCCAUCUGCAGUAAUCCUUUAGCCGUGGGCUGAAGGCAUAAGAACUAAGUACCAUAAAAAAGAUAAAAGGGAGCAUGAAUCAAUUUCUGUGGUAGCUGAGGCUUGAAGUAUGCCUAAAUAUCACUUAGAUUGCACACUGUUUGGGCCAUGUGCCAUCCUUUUAAUGCUUAUCCGUGUAUGGGAGAUUUCACUGACAAUCUGUUAAAAAUCUCUCUCUCUCUUUUGGCUGAAUCUAGAUUUUUUUUAGCAGAAAACAAAAAUAUUUGAGCUGAAACUGUUUUUUUUUUCCCCAAAACUGUUUUUUUUUUCUUUUCAAAAACAAGUAAAGUAGGUUUUGGUUUUGUUUUUUUACGUUCAGUAAAAGCAGUACUUUUCUUCUGAAAAACACCCUCAAGGCAGUUAUUGCCUAUAGCUAAUUUUUUUUUUUUUGGCUAUGUCUAACAUACAGCAUCUCCUUAAAAACCUGUCUACCGUAAGCAGGAUUGUUACAGAAAAAUAGAAGCAUAUUAGGAUGCCAGAAGGGGAGAAUAUAAUCUCACCUUUUUCUUUUAUCCUAGCAGAAAGUCUCAGUGGGCUAAUAGCCAAGAAGGUCAAAAUAUUAAAGCACCCUGCACAGACCACACCAGAUGGAAAAGAUCUGAGCUGGGCAAAAUGGUCCUUGCUGAAAGUUGUUGCCUCAUUAUGUGAAACCUUUCCAGAAGAGUAGAGCACCAGGAAAUACUUGCGGUGUCAGUGAUAUGUAUUGCUUCUAGCACUCUGAAAUCCUUCCUUCUCAAAUGAGGUUUGGUCCUGUGGAUCACUAGUAGGAGAAUAUCUAAAAUUAGGCCAUUCUGCUGGACUCAGAGCAGCAUUCAGUGCUGUGGUGGCUGAGCAAGUGUGGGAAUGGAAGCCCUGAGGGGCUUUGACUGGGCAGCAAUACCCCACUGUUGCCCUGUGCUUCCUAAGGAGUUUGGACAGAUCUAACAUCAUGGAGCUGCAGAGCACCACCUGGACUUCUGGAAGAGACAAAGUCUCUAGGAACCUCUCACCAGAUGCCAUGUAAAUAGACAGUAGGCAGGAGGAGGGUCAUACAGGGGUUUUAUAGCUUUAGGAGUCCUUCAGCAUUAUCAAGCCAACUGCAUUACUUCAUGGGAUGAUUGUUCUUGUAUUCAUGAGAAGAAUGUUAACAUUCAUAAACUUCUUCCUAGUAACUCUUAUUAGAGAAUGUGAUGAAGAUACUAAAUAUGUUGAAGGAGCUUCCAGGCCAUCACAUGGGCUCUGCUACUGACUCACUCUACAACCUUGGGUAAGUCUCUUAACGUCAAGUACCUCUUGCAUCAUCUCUGAUGAGUUAGUGACUGCAAAAAGACUACGAAAAAGGAGCAAGCAGUGACAUUUGUUGGUAAUGGGAGCAGAUUUUCAGGCCGGUUGAUGUGAGUACCCCACAGCCAAUAGGUCAUUUAUAGAAUCAGAAUCAUUUAGGUUGGAAAAGACCUCUAAGACCAUCUAGUCCAACCAUCCACCCACCACCAAUAUUGCCCACUAAAUCAUGUCCCUCGGUACCACAUCUACACAUCACCUCCGGGGACAGUGACUCCACAGCUUCCCUGGCAGCCUGUUGCAGUGCCCAGUGACUCUUUUGGAGAAGAAGUUUUUCCUAAUAUCCAACCUGUAGGGAGAAUUUGGUAGAAUCCUCUCUUCUGAGAACAUCAUAAAUGUAAAAAAAAAAAGCCUAUGUGAUGCUCAUAGUCUAAUAAUAUGGUGGGUUAUAUUUUACAGACAUGUCCCUGACAUGGGCUAAGGUCCUAAAACUGAAUACCAGAGGCUGCUGUCACACUGAGCGAUUGGAGUAAUCAUAUUUUAAGUAAAAUCCAGACUUCUUUCAGUACUUAUUAAUAAUGGGACUAGGAACACAAGAGUUCCAGCUCAUAGAAAGCAACUUGAUACAUGCUUCAUAGCCUGAGUUUUGAUAAACAUGAUCUCAAUAUGGCACAAGUCUGCUGAUAGGUAAUUGUGGGUGUAAUCGUGACUACCUGUAAAGCUGUACUGGAAUUGCUAAAUCACAGCCUGAACCAAUGAUUGAGCACCUGGUGGAGGGACACAGCCAGCCCUCGGAGCACAGGUGAAAACAGGUUCCAUCCCUUCCUAAGCAAGCCUUAUUUAAGGGCUGGCUGCCACAAGAGAAGGUUUUCUACCUGGAGAUCCCUCCCUUGGGAGUAUUCAGCAGACCCUGGUCCUUGGGGUGGGUAAGUAAAUCUUUCUUUGACUGGACUGUGACCAUUGCCUUUCUUGGGUAGUUUAGAACUGGCUGUCUGCUAUUGCCUUUCCCUACAGAAGCUGUGCUGGUCAAAAUCAAAUGUGGAUUAAAUACGCCUCUUUCCAUCAAAUGCUUAGGAGUAUUGCUUAUGAGUCUCUCCUCAGCCCCUGGGAGGCAGAAAUGGAAUAAAAUCUCUCCUUUAAGGACUCAGUGGGCAGAUAAGAAAUGUUUUCCUGGGAACCAGUGGCUGACCUGGGCAGGCACAAAGCAGUAAGACCAGCUGCUCCAAGCCUGCCCUAUGCUCUGGAGCCCAGAGGCAGGCACUGGGAUGGAGCACAUGGCAGCUUCUUGAGCCUGGUGUAACAGUGCUGAACCAAACUGGAAACAGGGUGAGUUUUCUGAGUGGAGUGGAAACUGAAGUAUUUUCUCCAUGUGGAAAAAGCCUUUUUUUUGUGGGCAGGACCAAGGUGCUGGCAAAAGGGGAGGUAUGCUGUCUAUAGCUAGGCUCAGCAGAGAUUAAUGAAACCUGAUUAAAAAGACUCACAAAAACAAAGUGAUUCUAUGCCUUGCUUUCCUACCCAGCUGCUAUCCAUCUUCUCCAACAUGCUUAGUCACUCCCUUUUUUAUCCAUGAAAGAAAUACAGCUCUGUGCAUCAGCCUGUUGGGUAUGCCGUGAGAAAGGAAAGCCAUAUAUACAUAUUUCUGUUUGCAUGUUAAAUGCCAAGAAGGUUAGUAAAGAUUUCAGAAAAACAAAUUGAUGUUUGACCUAAUAAAACAUUGUAAAUGGUUUUUCCUUUCUGCUUUGACUUGGUAGAAGAGUGUGUGAAAAUCUCAGAGAAGAAAUAUUUCAUUUUUCCUGAAAGGAGGCAGGAAGCUACCAACAAACAGUGCAGGAGCACAAUACCCUGAUAUGCUCUUUAAAAAUUAUCUCACAAGGGCACAAAAAUUUGAGAUCUGUACGUUAAGAUUAAACUUCAGGAAUCACAAACAUUCUGGUUGGAACCACUCUCUCUUAAGCAGAAUAUGGACUAGAUGACCUUUAAAGGUCCCUUCCAACUCAAACAGUUCUAUGAUUCUACGAUAUUCAUGACAUGUGGUUUUAGUGGGCAAUAUUGGUGGUAGGUGGAUGGUUGGGCUAGAUGAUUUUGGAGGUCUUUUCCAACCUUGAUGAUUCUAUGAUUCUUGCUGAACUAUAUCAUCUUGUUCCCAGCUCUCACAAUUUCCUUGUGCUAUGUGUAAGGCUUUUCUUAAUGCUCUAGCUGCUGGAAGCAUGCAAUAAGAAGUAAGUCUCAGAUUUUGGUUAUUGAAGAACAUUUUUAAAAGUAAAAAUAUCUUGAAAGUAUUGUAGAGAUGGUAAUUGCUCCCCAGCAAGCUAUCAGCUCCCAACAAGGGCAGGAAGAGUAGCUCCUAAAGCCUUACCAGAGCCACUGUUCUGAUGUCCCCAAGCUCCCAGUGCCCUCUUACCACACUGCUGCCAGUAUGUUGUGAGCAGCUCCCAAAAUAGGAUGUUUGGGGCUCACUGCAUGUGGUCCCAGCUCAUUGUUAAGAGCCAGGCUUCUGCAAGAGGUGCAAACUGCAUUUUAUCAGCCUAGUAACUGGGAGGGUCAAAACCUCCCAUGCUGCGACUCAGUUGUGAAGGCCCUCAGCACAAUCCUGUGGCAAACUGGGGGAAAGAUAAUAAAAUUAAAUUUACUAUCGAAAUAAAAGACAGAAGGCGCAGUGGUUUUACUCACUAAAACCAUUCGCUCCUCAACUUACUGGAAGUUAUUGUUGUGCUGCCAGCUUGCCAUGGAACAGAUGGACCAGAUGCCAUUGGGGUCUUUGGCUGGGCGAGCUGGUGGUUUGUUUUCUAUAGGCUCUGGAGAUGACAUUGAGUGUUGCAGAAGCCUGGGAUAAGAUAAAGAGGGUGUGAAGUCAAAGGUGUCAAUAGUUUUAAUCUGUGUAACUGGAAGGGAAUUUAGAAGGUUUGGGGCUUUUAGACUUGGGUCUGUGGGAGCUGGGUUUGGAGGGAGUCAGAAAGGAGCAGGGGUAGAAAUGACAUUAAAAAAAAAAACCAAACAGGUAAAAAGCCCUUUGACUGCAGAAGAGCUGAGCACAAAAUUACAAAGCGACGUUUGGGACAAGAGAGCUCUGUUUCCUCUGCCCAGUUAAUGAACAAAGGAGGAAAGGAGCCUAGAGUGAAGUAAGGGAUCAGAACCCAUAAGGGAUGCAAGGCUGAGGAGGAAAUAUCUCAAAUGUGAACUUGAAAGACAGCCUCAGGGACUGCAUGCACUGGACAGGCUGCAUGGCCCAGCUGACAGAGCAACAUGGAGCAUCCACUGUGCUCGGCUGCUCCAUCACAAACACAGGGCCUGGACAGGGAUGGCAAGAGAAAAUCUGCUUUUUGUGCUCUGCAACAAAUGUGUAGACAGACAGCUACUGGGAGGCACUGGAGGGCGGCUGUCAGCUUGGCAGAGGCUGAUGUAAAUCAGGAGGGCUCUGCUAUUAGCGCUGAGCUGGCUUGCAGCAGCUGAGGCUGUAGCUGAGCCACUGAAGUGGUAAAUAGCGCUGACAGCAAGUUGUGGCUUCAACAACCUUAAAUGAACUCCAUGGAGUGCUUGCUUCUGAAGAGAAUGUUGUUGAAACCUGGAAAUGAGGCUCUCAAAGGUUUAACAGAUUGGUCUGUUGUAGAGGGUUUGUUUUGAAACCAGAUGCAGAGGAACGCGGCGUCACCACACAUGGCAGGGCAGUGACAUCCUGCUCCUGUCUGCUGCAAUGGGGAGCAACCUCACACAGCCCAUGUCAGCACACCAGUGAGCCGAGAGUCACGGUAGGGUGAGGGUGCACAAUUUCUUGCAGUGAUAUGAAGAUGAUGACAAGCUAAAACCUAUCUGUAAACUGAAAAUAUGUUGGUGGUGUUGUGUUCUUGGAAAUAAAACUGGCACACGUUCUGCAGAAAUCACAGUGAUGGGAACAAUUGAUCAUGACGGGGUUGGAUAGAGAAAUAGAGCCUUCUCUUGUGGGUUUGAGUGACUUGCAGGCAGCUUCAGUAAAUGAGUGGGCAGCGGCAGAAGCCCAGCAUAAAUAAGAGCAGCUCUAGCAGCUGAGCUUGGACCCAUGGAUUGAGCUGGAGGCAUGGAGCUGGUUGGUCUGUGGAGUCUGGUACAGGAUGCGGAAAGGCUGCAGCUAAUCCAGAGGAUCAGAUGUGCACGCCACUCACAGUUGGUGACCAACAUAAGUUUUGGGUUAGAUUUAGCAAGAGUACACUUGGUAAGACAUCUCAGGAUCACAUCUUUAAUGGAGAAUUAACCUUUCUGUGGUCUCUGCCUGCUUCAGAACACCAACACUGCAAGCUGGGUCUGCAGGACACCGGCUGCAUCUCUCUGCUCCUGAGGUUUGAAGGCAGCCCUCUGGGCUGUGAUGAAGUAGAUGCAACUGGAGGUGACCACCUGAUCCCAAAUCUUCUUGGUGAGUGAUUACUAAACUCAAAACAUCAGCACCAUGCAGGCACCAGCUGCUUUUUGCUGUGACAUCCCUUGGGAUGAGAGAUUAUGGCACUGAGUUGAUCCAGGAAGGCUCAUAGACCUCACCAGUUUUCUUCAGCACAAGCUCGGGGUUGAUGAAGAACUACAAGUUGUGCAUCACGAGGACCCUGCCCUGUUUGUCCUGUCUGCGACACCAGGCACCUCCUGCCAUGUGUCUGGGAUGGUUGCUUCCUCGUAGAGAGCAUGGAACUAGAAUCAGCCACAGUUCUCAUGUCAGUAUGCUCACACUCAGGGUGGAGAUGAGGCCUGCAGCCCUGGGCAAGAAGUGGUAGAACUGCGAGAUUCCCACUGGAAGAAGCUUACUUGCAGGUGAGUAUGGCAAGAGGCUCGGUGACCAUGCAGGCUGUGAGCAGCUGGAAGGAGACCAAGAAGAAAGGCAAAAGUGGAUUGCCUCCUGGAAGGCUGGGAAUGGUGGGCAUGUCAAAUCGUUUGCUAAGCUCCAGAGUGCCCUGAGUGUUGCAAAAAAAGGCGGAGACAGUUUUGACCCAAAAUGUGUGCUAAAAUGCAGCUGAUACCAACAAGUUUUCAGGUGGUUCUGCUUGAGAGAAGAAAAAUUUAGAAGCCAAACUAAUCCAUAGGACUAAGUUUCUUAGGUAACCUUUAAUUUCUUAAAAAUAACAGCAGGGAAUUGAUGAGAAAAGGUUCUUUUGCUAGUCAGAUAGAAUUAGAAGCAAGUAAAUUUUCUGCUGUGCUUGACUCCAGUGGUUCAUUCAGUGCCAUGGCCUUUGAGAAAGGAAUUGAAGAAGAAUCAGGCUGCUUAGAAUCACAAUAGUGUUAAUGGACAUGUUCCACUAUCAUUUUAAGGCUCCUCAUCAUCCCACAUUCAAUUCUUGGCCAGAUCCAGCAAAGGACAGAGGCAUCUGCAAGAAGAAUUUCAAUAGAAUUCCAGAGAGUUACAAUGGAAUUACACAACAGCACAGAAAACAAAAUUUGUGAGUUAUUACGACUUGUAUUUCUGUGGGCUCCAAGAAAACAAUCCCAGUGUAAAUAUCCCCAAAACCCAUUGGAGUCCAUUCUCAAAAAAAAAAAAGACAAACAGCUCUUCUUAGUGUAUUGUUAUUUAUUCAACAACCAUUCAAAAACCAGUGCCAUCCAGAUAUGCUAGCAGUGUGUUUCUUUUACCUGAGAGAGGUUAUGUAUUGGAGAUUUAAGGCAGAGAAGACGCAAGCUAUGGGCUGGAGAGAAGGUUACAGACAAGGUUUCAUUUAGUCUGCAGUAUCUACAGGCAAGGACUGUUGUCUUGCUCUGUUUAUGCCAUCCACAGCACAAUUGAGGCCCUGGGGCUUUCAGGCUUGACUGCAGUACAAAUUAUAAACACCAAUAGCACAAUAAGGUCUAAGAUAUUUUAAGGUUAGUUGUCUGGAGCAAACUAUUAUGUGUCCAUCUUGUGGCAGUGUGAACACAAGCUCUGUACCUAAAAUUAGAGUUUUUCUCAGUGCGUUCUAAAAGCUAUUUGCUUUGUAACUGCACACUGCAAUUGAAGUAACCUGUAGAUGAUCCCUGUGUGUAUUGAUACUGUUUUCAGACUGCAGGUAUGAUUAUUGCUGGGGGAUCAUAAAUGUAUUUUUUUGCUGCAACUUUAUGCUGUGUAAGCACAGAAACAUUCCUUUGACUAUGAAACUCUGUUUUUGUUUGUUGUAUUUUUUUUCCAGAGUUCUUGUUGACAUGAAUAGUCUUUGUCUUUUGUUUUCCUACAUUGCUGGAGGAUGGUAGCAAAAACACUAAUGGAUGUGGAUCAGCAACAUCACUCAGACUGGGAGAAGAGGAAGAAUAUUCUGUCCUUCACCAUCAGAGCCUAAUACCAACUUACUGGCCAAUCCAUGGCACUCAUUGCUGUCAGCAGAUGUGGAGUCUCCAGUGGCAAAUAAGCCACUAAUGGUACAAAGUCUUUCCCAGUGUGGUGUAACACUUGACGAACGCAGGCCAAAAAAAGAAAUCAACUCAUGCAUAUUACCAUAUCAGAUCAGGCUGAAGAGUUUUGCCUUUCUGUCAUCUAGCAAAGACUGUGUAUGGAGGACUAUUUUGUGCAUGCGUUACACAGAAAAGUAUUUUGAUAUCACUGUAGGUGAGUACUACAGUUAAACCAUUUUUGGCUACAUUAACAGAGUAAGAAACCAGAAGAAAGAUCAUGGAGGUCAGGUAAGAAGUGUUGUGAGCCUUCAAAUGCAGAGGUCAUGCAUACAACGAAAACAAGAAAGCAAAACUGUAAUGCUAGCUGCAAGCUGCAUGGAUAAUCGACACCAAAACGUGACUCCUUUUAAUCAGGGGUUAUUUUAAACAGACUUGGGGAGGGGAUGUUAAAAAAAAUUGUAAAUUUGCUUAGCGGGAAGUUGAAAUCCAUGGCUGAUAGCAGGCUUCCAGGAAAGAAGUAGGUUGCAGUAAGGGUUGUGUUCAGCAACAAGUUCACAGCAGCUAGAUCACCAGUGAGAUAGAAGUCACAUUAAGGUAAUUCUUGUGGAUUAAUCUCUUUUAUAUGCUCUAAGUAGAAUGAGGAUAUUGAGGUGCCCUAUCUGGAGGAUUCUCUCAAUGACACAGCACUCAUGAAUGAAAGCUCCCUGAUCACAGCAUCUGGCUUAAACCAAAAACUACCCUAGAGCUACAAAGAUGGAAAAGUGGCUAUUUUGCAGAACUUGAAUGGUUCCCCCAAAAAAGUAUUUAGGCAAACUGUUCUUUUACAUUAAACCAUCCUCAGCCAAGGUGAGGUGGGUUAUUGUCAUAGCAGUAUCUGUGUAUGUGAGCAUAUAUAUACACUUAAGAGUUUUUGACAGCUUCAAGUUGCCUCCCACGGUCUCAGCCCAUCCUUCACAGCAGGCAGGCUGCUGGGUGAGCCAUUGGGCUGCGGUGUUUGGUCACUCUCUGUCUUUCCCUGCUUGCUGUGGAUGCUGUCAGUUGGCACGUGGAGGCUCUGAUGAAUGAGUGCUGUGGAGCAGACAGGAUGGAAACAGAGAUGUUCUUGCCAUUCGGUCAGAUCCUCAUGAGCAGUGUUUUGGCACCAAUGGGCUGAGACAUACCCACUUCUGAAGAGCUGUUCUUUCUUUCAUUGAUGUGACCCUGUGUGACAGCUCCCUCUCCUGAGAUUUCCUCUGACUUGAUUUAUGGAGUCUGAAUUCCAGCUGCAUGUUACUUGGGGCACAGACCGACGUGAUGCUCCAUGUGAGGUGCCCAGACAAAAGCAACAGCUUUAAAAUGUCAUCCAGCAGCCCCAAAAAGACUUGUCAGAGCUGGAGGAGAGAGAUCCAUCACUUGCAGGUGAGGGGAACUGAGGAAUUGCAGGAAUUGUGCUGUAGGAAAAUCUUCAGCUAAACUGCUUUUUCCCAUGUACGAUAGCCUAUGCUGAGCCUAUUCAAGGAGUCUUUGGGAAAAUACCUAAGAGGAUUUUUCCUUUCAGAUUAAGUGAUUUCUGGAUGAUUUUAACCCACAGCACAUCAGCAGGGGGUGAGUUUAGCUGCACUUUGCCUGCACCAGAGAAAGAGAGGCUCACUCUUUUGAAAGUCAUCCACUAAAUUAAUGAAGACAUGAAUGUACAUUAGGCUGAACCUAUUUAGCUUAUUAAAGGCUCUUCUCUCAGAUCAUUUCCUUCUGUGUGUCUCUUCACAUUGCAGGCUCUUCUGUUUGUAAUUUCCAAAGUUAGGGGAAAAAAAAGAUUGUAUCUUUCUAAGGGGUUACCCUCAGCUUUCAGCAGUCAGAAACUGUAUGUGCAAGAGUCAGCCUGAAAUCCCAUAGGAAGAUGAAAGACCUCGCAGUGCUCAGUGAAUGCAGUAAUGAUGACUGUUACUCUUCUACUCAAAUAUAAUAUGAGAGUGAUGCAAGCAAUCUGCAAAGCAAUGCUGAAGGGGUGCUGCACUGAAGGAAAAGAAGGAAGCUACGAAAAACACAGGAAACUCAUUUUUCUGGGACAAAAUGGAAAAAUAUUCUAGAAGAAUGUUGUCCUCAUGAUCUGAAUGCUCAUUUGAGUGAUCAGGAUAUGGGAAGCUGAGGGGUGGGCAGGUAGCACAAGCAAUGCGUGCUCUUUUUCUCUACCCAAUUGUAGUAUUCAGCUUUUCUGCUGUUAUGGGGCUGACACUCCCAAAUAGUUUCAUCAAGAUUUUGUGCUGCCCAGACCUACCCUCCUGGUCAGAAAGACAACAGCUCCAGCACUGCGGAGCCCAGAACUCCAUUUAAAAAUGUCAUCGUGAUACAAAGGUUAUGAAUUUGCAGAUAGUCCAGACAUUAAGUGCCUUCCAAACAUUCCCAAUGAUGUGAUGAGGAAUUAUGACGUUCUUUUGCAUACCUUCAGCACCUGCUGUACAUUUGUUGAGACUAAUUAAAAAAGAGCCACACUGAGCUCUCCAGUCCUAUAAAUGACAGCAGGUGUUGAACAGCCUCGCUAGCACCCUGACUACUAGCAGCAUGGAGAAGCAGGAGCCUUCCUAACCCCACACCCAGCUCCUCUCCUGCAGCAGCCCAUGUGGGAACAGGAGAGCCAGGAGCUGGGCUCCUAUUGCAGAGCUUGCUCCACAGCUGUGGAGGAAGGGCUUUGCCUGCUUUGGAUGUCUUCCACAGCACUUCCUGUUUAGGGACCUUGCUUUGAUAACUUUUUACUUGUUUUUCCUUCCUUUUUUUUUCUCUGAUUUUCCCUAGCUAUGCUUCUGUCAAAUCCCUGUUUUCAUACGAAGGUUUGCAUCAAAUUGAGGGAAAGAGCUAAGGUAAUCUGUUUGUAAUAAAAUACUUUUCCUUUGCUUUAGUGAACUUAGUGCUUCCCUGUAAAAACAAACUUUAAUUAUUCAGGUGUGACUAGUCACCAUAUUAAAUCACCAAACUACCUCCUCAGCGUAAUAAUACAUUUCUUUACAAUUUCAUUUUGGAAUCAUUCUUCUUUUGCUGACGUUUAAUUUUGCACAGGAGAAACAUUAUCAUAAAAAAGCCCAGGUGCAAAAAUAUUAUGUUUUUAGUAAUGAUGUACUGUCCAUUACUAUUAAAAACUAGAAAAACUAUCAAUGCUGCUCCAUAUUAACUGGAGUUACUUAACCAAUUCCUCUUAAAUGUUUAAGCUAAGAGUUCUGUUGCAGCACAGAUGCCUGUGUGCCUCUUCUACACCUGGCCAUUUGCUGAUGUACUUUCAUAUGUGAGACUUCAAACUAUCUCACAGGGAAGUAUUUUUUAACAUUUCUGCUCAAAAUUGCAAACACAAAGGUUCUUCAGCAGUGAAGAGCAAGAGGAAGGGCAAGAAUGAGUUGCAUGUUUAGUGAAUGCCAUUUUGACAGAUUUGUAUCCAUAGUUUUUGGGUGAUGUUUCAGCCUCCUCAGGCUCUUCUAACAGGAGCAAUUACAACUGCAGUAGCUUGCAGCUCUUCUGUUUUUAUUUGUUGUGGUAGUGACUCUUUAUAACAGAACUAGAAGGACCUUGAGUCUAACACAAUCCUGCAUCAAGACAUGCUAGAAUUAAUCUCUCCAACCUUUGAUAUGGCAGUUCACCAACCAAGUAACCAGUAGCUAACUGGCUAGGGACCUUCUUUCACUCAUGAAGAGACAUAAUUUCCAGGGAAUGGAACUCUGAGAAACUCCAGUGAAUGAUUUGUAUCAUUCUGAUACAGGUUUUUAAUAGAGUAGAAAACAUCUGCAAUAAGGCUGCAGUGGCACCACUGUGCUGCCAUGCAACUGGAGCUUCAUUCCUCAGGCAGAGAUGUUGGAGGAAAGGAGAAAGAGCUGCUGAGUUUUCCUUCCUUUGCCAUCUGUCCAGAACUCCGUGGCCUGCAGGUUUCUUUCUUUCGUCCCUUUUCUGCUGGCUUUUUGGCACAUCUAGAUCUCUGAGAUUUCUCUUUAUGUAAAUAUUGCCCUUAUUUUUUCUCCUUGAUUUCUCUCAGAAAGUCUCUGCACGUUGUUAUCUGCAGCUCCAAUCUCUGUUUGCUGCUCUUUUUCUUGAGCUGCAAGUGGUUUGCACGGUGGUUUCUCCUGCCAUGUUUUUAUCAGCCAUCCUCCAGUAACAAUCCUGCAUUCACCCUGUUUUGCCCAAGGUUCUGUUCACCUUCUCUAUCUGCUCUGGUCCUCAUGUUUUAAGGAUGUUGGAUUAUAAUUGCAAGGUUUGGGCCUUUUUCAAAUGGUUGGUUUUUUAUCUUAUUGAGUGUAAGUUUCUCUUUUCUUCCUGCAUUGGACUGUUCAUUUUGAAAAGUCUUUUAAUCAAAUGAAAGGAAUUAAAAAUGAGGAGGGAAAACCCAAGAAUUUAAAUUCCAGUCUUUUUUUCUACCACAAAGAACCAAGAAUUCUUUCUAUUUAAGACAGUCACAGAUUUUAUCAUUGUGACUGGUUUCUAUUAAAUUUGUAAGUAGAAAGACAUUUAGCAAAGUUGAAAGCUGUCUCUUAUGUGAUGACAGACUUUGCCUGUUUUAGUAUUUUUACUGGUUAACUACCAAAUCCUGAGUCUACUGCUGUCUACGGCCAACAUUUCGUGUUCACUAAAAGAAACGUGACUUAGAAAUAUAUCUUCCAUACUAAGCUUUUGAAAACAUACAGUUUUCCGAGUUAUAGAAACAGCAGCUUUAACAUGCGAAAAGAAUUGUUACAGCAAGGCCUUCUUGAGAGAAAGAAGCAGCAGAAAAAUGGCACGAAGGGUCAGGAAGAGAGCAUGAUAUGUAGUCAGCUGCCUUGUCUAUGCACAAGACAGCCUCAUUACUACUCGUAUACAGCUAAAGCAGGAUGCACUGGUUAUAUAGAUUGACAAACUGGUUAAACAAACAAUAGUGCCAUGUUGGGAUGCAGUAACGCCAAGAGGCAUUUUGCUUCUGGAAGUCAGGGCUCAGUUGAUGCCUGCUGAAACCCUAUAGUCUUGGCCAACGGUGUGGUACCAUAGCCUAUUUAGUAUUCUACCAAAGAAGUCUCAGCUGGACUUUCCCAUUUCAAUUCACACAAGUCGGGUCUGGGUAGAUGACUGAGGGGAGAGAAAAGCUGGCAGGCACUAAGCACAUCUUCAGGCUGCUGCCCAUCAUCUUGGUCUGCCCUUGAGCUUCUGGGUUGAGGACUCUGAGAGGGCUUGGUCAAACUGAAUGUUUUCCAACCCCUCCUGCUCUGCAAGACUGCAAUUUCGGCUUUAAAUCUUCACCCUUGCUUCAGCUCAAACACAACUCUUGCUAAUUUCACUCUUAGUUUACUACCAGAGAAAGCCUUCCCUAUCUAAUUAUUAGAAACAGAGAAUCCAUAAUAUAUUCAAAACUGCGAAAACUUAAUCCUGGUUAAUUUUUUACUCUCUGAGAAAAGUCAUUAUGACUGAUCUUUCAAUCAAGUACGCGCAUUUCGUUUAUUUUUAACAUUCCUUUCAUUAUGUUAUGAGCUUCUUUAGGAUAAUGAAAUAAUUGCUUGUCUCUUUGAUUGAUCUUUGUUUUGAAAGGAAACUUUAAUAGUGUUAUUUCCAGAGCAGGCUUACAGUAUAAUACAAUUAAAGGAAUACAUGACACUAAAACACUUUAAAGCACAUGUUCUAAUAAUUAGACCUACAAUCCUCGUCAGGCAGAGGACUGUGUGGGGAGGAGUUCUUGUUAUAAUUUAUGAGGAAGGAAUUCAUGUUAUUCUGCUUAAUAAAGCAAAUAAAAAAUAUUACUAAUGCCAUUUAUUAAUAGCUGUAGCAAUCUGUGAACAAGCUCUUUCUCAAGUCUUCUCUGGAAAGACAUCCACAUGCUAUAGAGAAUCCCAAAGUCUGGCAUUUUACUUUUUAACACUAAAACAUGCCAAAAGUAUGGUAACUUUGGAUCUAAAUUCAUCCUGUGUGAAAGAUUUUGAGGUUCCUCAGAUCUGGAAAUGUACGUUCCUCCUGGAUCUUCUUUUGCUGAAGACCCCUUCCAGCUGUUCCCUGACCUCCCGGUAGCCCAGGUUCCCCAUCAGCAGAACCAGAACCUGCUCAAGAGCACGGCUUCCUCUGCACUGCCUGAGCGCAAACUGGAAGCUGACAAACAGCACAGGUUCCCAGGAAAAUUCUGGAAGGCUCCAAAAGUAAUACCUCCUAUUUUAUUAUGUUGGCCCAUGAUAUCAGAGGUGGAUGCUGGUGGUGUAGCAGUAGAGGUAGAACCUUCCCAUCAAUAUUCCAUUACAUUUUGUUGCCUUGUGAUGGCAGCAGAGGGGCAGUCUAACACAAUGACUUCUGACAUGGAAGUGUGGAUAAAGCAAAGGUAUGUAAUUGAAUUCCACCAUGUGGAGAAAAUGGCACCCACUGACAUUCAUCAACACUUGGGGGACGUUUAUGGAGAAUGAACAAUGGAUGUCAGCACGGUGAGGGGUGGGUGAUGUGCUUGAGCAGCGGCUGAAAUACAACAGCCGAUCACAUAAGAGAUACAAGGUUUGCCUGAAGCUUCGAAACAAAUUCACGUUUAGAGGAGCAAUUAAACAUCUUUAAAAUCAUUCAAGUUUUAAUAAUACUCAGUGCUCAUCUCUUGCUCUUAAAAAUGAAUUGCAUUUGCAUCCUUGGUAAACCAGAUGCUUCUGUGUUGUAGCAAUAAUCACUGUUUGAAGCUUUUAUUCAGCCAAGAAAUGGAAAGAAGCCUUAGAGCAAAGAAUAGCAUAUGCCUCACUAGCAUUUCAAGGGGACGUAGUAGAGAGGAGUGAUUUAACAAGCUCCAGGCUCUCAGAAGUAAGAAUUCUAGAUUACACAACUCUGUGAUAUCACACAAUGGAGGAAACUUUGAUAUAAUUGGGUAUCUCUGAAGAGUGGAUACGCAAGCACACAAAUUCGAAGGGGGAAAAAAGGAACAACAGAAAAUCAGAACCUUGAUGCACAUUUUCAGCUUGAGCCUUUAGGACACUAAGAUGAGGGCAAGGCAAAAGCGUUGGGAUCAAUAACUUUCCAAGAUGUAACUUCUUUCCUAUCUUCUUUAAUCUGAAUUCUCAGCGACAAGACUGAGAUUCCAGAUAAUCAAAUUAUUCAGUUUGUUUUGGUUUAUUGUUUGUUCAGUUGCAGUUGCACUCAAUUUAAAUAACUGGGCUUUGGCAAAGAAGAGUGGAAUAUUUUCAUUUCUUUGAAUCCUGAACCCAGUAAUUUUUCCUCAUUUAAGAUCAGUGAGAUCACUUAGAGGCUCGUCAGCUUGGUUGGACUCUGCUGAGAACGUAGCCUGCCUUCAGACAUGGAGGAAGGGAGAAGCAGUGGGGUGCUUGGGAUGCUCUGUGUGGAAGGAAAGGCAUUGUGGUGGCUCUUUCCAGGUGCUGAGUUUGUUUCCCAAGGAACCAAGCCGGAUUACCCAAUAGCUACUACACAGCACAAUCAUUCAUUUUUAAUUCCGUGUGAUCCCAGCAUUGUUAUAUUGUGUAUAGCCCAAUCCUCAGAUGGGAUACAAUCAUUGUGUAACUCAUUUUUAUAUCAGAUGAGGAUUCACUAGAGAUAAGACUCUUUAGCAUCCACCCGUGCAUGGUACUAACAGUAAGAAACCUCAGUUUCACAAUGUCUUACAGCGUGGUGCAGCAACUUGAGAGGAAGAGUAAGGAACCUAAGUGAACGGAGGAGAUCUAGGUAAUACUCUGAACAGUUCCAAGCUGGAAUUAUGGCUUUUAACAUUUCUAUUCUUGAGGGGUUGGGCAGCUGGCUGAAGCAGGCCAGGAUUACUUCCAAAUUGUGAACAGGAUCUUCUAUUCCUAUCAGAGGAGUCAAGGCUACAAGGCACGCCUAAGAAGCAGCUCAAGCCUGGGACUAUCUGGACUUCUGAGUUCAUGAUGGAAAAGAGUAUUGUCCUUGUUUUUCAGGAUGCUUGUAAGCCUACGUUAGUAAACACAGAUGAUGGCAAUUAAGGCUUUGGGAGAAUCUUGGCACGUUGGAACUGACCGCCUUUCUGAUUGCGAACUGAGAUAGUGGGAGAACCCUUUAUCCCCUGGUUGAACAAGAACAUCUUGAAUCUGUUUAUGUGUGUAUGAAAAAAAUUAAUUAAACCUCUACGGGCUGGAUUCCUCAAGGAUGAUAAAUACUCAGCUGGCUUUAGGAUCCUGCACAAAAGUAUGAGUUAACCUGGUGAGCUUUUGGAUUUCAGAUAAAAUUGAGGGGCAAGGCUAUGAGGCACACACAAUGAAAUGUCACCACUAGGAGAGGUCACAUCUUUUCCAUGCACAGAGCUGGCGCUGAGAAAGUGCUUUUUUUUUUCACCCAGUUGGGUGCGUUUUGCUUUGUGUUACUAAUAAACUUAACAAAUGUUACCCCCCUCUUGCACUGAUUUGAUGUCCCAGCAGUCACCCAUCUACAUUCCCUGGAGAGCAGGAGCAGAGGAAGGACCCACAGCUCAAGGGAGACAUGAAGCUUCUCAAGCCUCAAGAUACUUAAAUGGUUCAUGUUUUCUCUCUCAUCCCACCAUUCUCUAUACAGCAAGAUGCUGAGGAUAGUUACCUCCCAGGGGCUGGAUUCAAAUGCCUUUCCCCAGAGAGAACUGAACCUGCAUCUCCCACAUCUUGGCUGAGUGCCUUAAAUACUUGGUAAAGGAUCUGGAUAUCCUCUUCAGUGCUGUAACGCUAAGCCAAAAAUAGUUUUCAGCUGCAACUACAUGACUAAUUUGACCCGAGACUACUUUUGUGGGGCAAAUAUUUUAUUCACAGAAGAAUACUUGCACUCCCCUAUGAAGAAGAUAGAAGGGAGAAAGCUGUGCUACAGGAAAUGAGCCAUGAGAUCUCAUAGACAAUGUUAGGACUUGACACUAAUAUACAGCACCUUUUCCCAAGCUGCAGUUUGAAAAACCCAGAGUUCUCCUCCCCAUCUCCUCUCGCAUAUAGAUAUGUGACUACUUAGAUGCUGUUUUCCAGGACAUCUCAAAGUCACUGCCAUACUUUCACAAAAUCAAAGUGAGAUAAUAAUUACAUACAUUUUAUAGCUGCAAACCCAGACAGACAGUGCAGGUAGGUGUCUGAAAUACACAAUGCCCUUCCAAAAAAAAAAACAAACCCAAAACAUGCAAAUUCUUUAGCUUCCUACUCCUGCGUAUCACAACAACAGCUUAUAGGAGGCGUGGGGGUUGGGAAAGAGGAACAGAGCUUAAACUACUACUUUGGAAUACCAAUUUCUCAGUUUGUUUCUGCUACAUAAAUGCAUUAAUAGCUUCACACCAUUAGUGAGAAGUCUGCAAAACACUUUCUUCUGUGCAGCUUCAAUGGGUAGAAGUACUGGCUCUAGGUUUUAAAAGGCAUUUCAAGUUAGGCUCCUAGGAUCACAUUUAGACAUAAAUAAAUAAUCCAAUUUUCACAUUUGCUAUUCAGCAGCUUCUCAUAGCAUAUGUGGUUGCAGCUGCGGGACCAACAUUUUUGUAAGCCAGGAUACUUACUCAGGGACUUGAAUGCAGGCUUGAGACGAGGAUUUGCAAAGGGAGCUAGGUGCCUAGUUUCUAUUGAGAAAAGAUUUAUGAGUUUCACGAGCAUAACUUUUAGGUGUCCAUUAGGAAAAUCUCAGCUUUUCUGUAAAUGCCUCUGAAUUCCUUAGAUUUCAUUCAUUUGGCAGCCAGGCACCUAGCUCUUCUGUAUGAUCUGAAAGAAAUGUGCAGAGUUCUGUAUGACUUCUGUAGUCUUUCUCUGGAAAAUAAAUAAACCAUUCAAAUGGAAAUACUCAAAUAGCUGGGCACAUAUCCAGAUACAGUAUGGCCAGCUUAGUGGCAGAAAGUUACGGCACAUAUCCUGUAUUGUCAAGGACACUGAAUGUUUUGGCUGCCCUAAUAGAAAAACAAUAAUUCAAUCAUGUAUUAUAAAGGAAUUUCCUGGAGAAGUUUGGCUUUGCUUGAUCACCCCAUUAGAUUUGUUCUUCGUGUGGAAGAACAGCACAUUAAAUUCAUUACAUACAUUAGACCAGCUAUGUUUGUUUCUAGAUGGGUUUCCGUAAAGUGGUUGAAAUGCCUAAAAAAAGACAUUUUGAAGAUGCCUUUUUGCAUAAUAAUGACAGCACAGUCUUGCACUGCUGUAUGCUCAAUAAUUGUUUCUCACAGUGGAGGGGCACAUUUAACACAGCUAGCUCUAAGUAUUUUAUAAAUCAACAAUAACAGACCCACGGGGCUAGGAUCAUUGUUUUAUUUUGCUGGCAGGGGCCCGCAACAUGUCGGAUGUUACGCAAAGACGGGAGAGGACGUGUGAGGAGAUAGUUAUGCUAAUAGACACUAUUUCCCCCAUCCUUCUCUCCUCCCUAGAGUAACUGUCGUAACAUUACACAAGUUGAUGUGUCCUCAACAGUUCCAAAUUACCUACACGUGUUGGAUCUGGCACAUUAAAUAAAUACCCAAUUAAGCACAAAAGCUAAAACCCCUUUCCUUAAAUGUUCUUAAAGACUAGAAUCUCACCUGUUUGUAAAGACUCUCUCAUGCUGCUGGACUGUCUUCCCACAGUAAGCCCAUAGCUGUCAGCAAGCUCUCAGAGUUCACAGGGGACAGUUUAACUUCUCAGGGUCUUUCAGAUGUUCCCAGUCCCCCUCAUCUUAUGAAUGUGCCAUGUGCCCUGCUGCUCCUCUCUGCCCUGUAGAUCUGUGCCGAUGUGGCUGGUUGGCCAAUGGACCAAUGGUCACUUCAUGAUGGAGUUCCAGGCCCGAAAGAAAACUUUAUCUGCAGAUGCUCACUUCACAAAGCACCGUCCCUUCCUUUCUCAUCCCUACAGCCAGCCCCAAGUUCACCCUACAACAUGCCCUGUGCCACUCAUCUCCCUCCAGGGAUGCCCAUGCGCAGCAGGCAUGUGACACAUAGAACCAUAGAAUCAUUCAGAUUGAAAAAGACCUCUAAUAUCACCUAACCUUAACCUUUCCCUAUGACAGCCACUGACCAUGGCUCUCAAUGCCACAUCUCCAUGUUUCUCAAACACCUCCAGAGGCAGACUCCACUACCUCCCUAGGCAGCCGGCUCCAUGAGUCCCAUGAGGCAGCUUCUCCAUAACAGAACCAGGGCUCAGUGUUAUUCCUUCCUCACCACAUGCAUUUCAACCAUCCUGCACCCCUAUAGCCAGGAAUUUUUAAGUAGAAGCCGCUCAUGUGAUUUUUUCAGUUCCUUCCCAUUUCAUGCACAGUCAGCAUGGUGACAAGCUGGCAACAGCUCAGCCAGGCUUAGGGAACAUCUCCCAUGGAAAUUCCUGAUUAUUGAUUUGUUUGCAUGGCCAAGUGUGUAAUGAAAAUGCUAAGUCAGGGCUUGAAACAGUGAUUGAGCACCUGGUGGGAAGGCAGGGCCAACCCAGGGGAGCUCAGGUGCAUGCAAUGCACUGAGUGACUGGAAGGGGUGGAGCCAGGAUCCACUCCUUCCCAGACCUCAUUAAGGAUUAGCAGUGGAAACGAGGGUAUCUUGUUAGAGAUCCCUGCCUACCUGAGGUCUUCUGAAGAUUAAGGGAGCUAUCAUUUACAUGAAAACCAGAAGCCAGGGAAGCAGAUGCAGCACGAAGGAGCAUACGUGUGACAAAUCUCACUUGCGUCUGAAUUAAAGAGCAGUUCCUGGACUUAAAAUGCAACGGCAGGCUGGAAAUAAAGGAAAUCUUCUGUUUGCCUUGGAUACUGAUCUUCAGAACUGGACCAGAUGAGCUGCUCUGUAGUGCUCUCUAAAUGAUAGAAGCCUGAGGACAGUUAAAAAGAAAGGACACACCACAGCAAUCUGUCACCAGUGCAAUUUUCAGCAAUCUUUGUAGUUAACAGACCACAGUGGAUUUUGUUUUUCCUCAUGAAUUUACCUAAUCACUUUCUAAAUCCUGUUUCAUGCAAUACCAUGAGAAUGAUAAUCUAAUUUUGGUCUCUAAGACAUGAAAUACAAAAACAAUAGGAGGCCGAGGAAUGAAUGAAAUCAUUUUGCCAACAGGUAUUACCAAAACAGGCAACAACUACAGCACAUUGACAGAGAAAAUUACUAAAACAUCUCAUUACAAAAUAACCCAGCAUUUCCAGCUGUGAAAAUGAAUUUGUGAUUUAGACCACUUCACUGUUUUGAAAAAUCACCACCUGUAAUUGCUUUUCUAAGCUCGUGAUAAGGGUAUUUCUCUACUCGGUGCCAGGAUGCCAACUUUAAAGUGUGCCUUUUCAACCGGUCACACUGUCUAGGGUUAAAUAAAAAAUCUUUCUAACCUCUUCUUUACCCAAAGAUUUCUUGUAUCAGUCAUGAAUGAGAAGAAAAAAGACAUAUGUUUCCAGGAUGUCACCCCUCUUUGCUUAGCCACAAGAAAUUCACUGUGAAUUUGUGCUACUUCCCUACUACAGUACCAACUUUUACAUAUUUUGCAGUCCUUGUCCACUAUUUCUGUUGUAAUCUCUUGCAAGGUGCUGAAAACUUAAAGCUCUACGCUCACAAGUUUAUUGUCCUAAAAUCUAAUGUACAAAAUAAAAGGAUAUGCCUGGGCUUAGUUCUGAGUAUUUUUCUUGUUUACGUAUAGGUGAAAUAUUCCCUGUAGCAAAUUCUCAUGUUAAAAAAACAAAAACCAAAAUUAUAUGUACCAGGUCUAACUUAUGCAAGUGAGGCAUCCUAUUUAAUAAUUUACAGCUGUGCAAAGAACAAGCAGGUGAGUACAUUCUGCACAGUUGUACAAAGCUCUGUGUAACCAGGGUGGAAACUGAAUGAUUGCAUGCACUUUUCUAUUUAUCCAGACCUCCAGAAAAUGCAAACAGUAAUUUCUAAACUGAAGCCAAAGUCAUACAUGCCUCGAGGCCCUUUCUAGACAGAAUGAAGAUGAACCCUUUUCCCCUUUUAUGUGACAUGAUUUUCUCUUCUCUCUUGAAUCAUUUCAAUCCUACUUAAUGUUGCACAACAUUUUUGCAUACCCUUUCUGCACUCAUGUUAGUAUUAUUUGCUGCUAAUUUCUUUUAUCCUGGCAUUGUCAUUGAAAAUGCUGAAACCCACCCAAUUCUUCCUUCAUAACGUGUCUCCAAGAUUACACAGCACUUGCUGAAAAUGUUCCUGGGAAAGGACAAAAGCGAUUACUGAGCUGAACACUUCAGUCUCCUAAGUUGCCAUUAGGUGCAUAAAAUGCGAUGAUUUUUCUAUUUUGCUUGUUUGACAGAGGAAGAAGCUCAAAUGAGAUAUCUGCAAAGCAUUUUUUUUCCUGGUGUUCCUGCUGACCCCAAACUAAAGCUGCUAUUGCCUCUCUGAAUAUAUUAUUCCUUUCCUGAAAAGCCAUUUAGUUGCAAAUUCAAAAACUUUCUUACUGCAUAUGCCCAUAUUAGCCAUGGUAAAGGCCUGUAACAGAGCAGAUCAAAUUCUGUACUAAUGACCUCUCUGGUAUUUCUAUAGAAAUGCUCUGUUAAACACCCAGGCAUUUCAACUUUCAGUCACAAGACCUAUAAAAAAUUCAUACUCUGAAUCUCUGGUUUCAAACCACAGCUCUGCAUCAUUAAGAGCUUUUCAAUCCUCCCACCCCAUAGACAUUAUGAGAGAAGGGGGGAGGGGGGCUUUAUCUUCCCAGUGCUUAAAUUUCACAUUUUCUUCUCCUCCUGUUUGCAAUUUUAACUAGCUCUGGAUGGAGGUUAGCAAAAACGUGUAAGCCUGGAUUUUCUCAUAUCAAAAUUACCUAAGAAAUAUUUUAGCUAGAUGACUAAAUAAAAAUGAAAACAGGUACAAAAAACUCCACAGGCUUUAUGAUUUAAUUAAGUUUUGCCUUAACGGUGGAUGUCUUGUAGAAAUUAGAAAACUUGAAAGAAAAGAUUACGCAUACAGGUAAGAACCUGCAAAAGCAACAUGCAUCUGUCACUGCACAAUCUCCAGCAGCACUCGCAGCUUUGAUUUGGCUUUCAUUGAGUUCUCUGGAUUAGACUCAUCACCACGUCCAACUCCAGCCCACACCCACCGUGUCCACCGACCACGUCCCUCAGUGCCACGUCUCCACGGUUCUUGAAUACCUCCAGGGACAGCGACUACUCCACCUCCCUGGGCAGCCUGUGCCAGUGCAUUGCCACUCUUUAUGAUUAGAAAUGUUUCCUAAUACCCAACCUGACCCUCCCCUGGUGCAGCUUGAAGCCAUCACCUCUCAUCCUAUUGCUGUCACCUGGGAGCAGAGCCUGACCCUGACCUCCCUACAACCUCCUUUCAGGGACCUGUAGAGAUCAGGCGUUUUUGGAAGCGUAUUUGUACUUCCCAGUAAAAAAACCAGUUACGGUACGUGACGCUUAUGUAAAACACGUCUGAAUGUAGCGGGUCUUUUCGGUUAGUCUUUCUAGAUGUUCAAUUACUGAUCAGCCUGAUGAGUCUCCACACGCGUUCCUCCUGCUCAGCACAGCGCUGCCCCGCGUUACGUUUCUCCUUCCUACCCUUGCUUUCCAAGGAUCGGUUCAAGCGGUCGGACCACCACAGGGUCCCAGGCCUAUUGAUUUUGGUCCCACCCGCACCGACAGCGCACGGAGCCACAGGAGAGCGCGGAGCGCUGGGGCAGUGCGCUCAGACGCAGGGCUUGGUGCCAGGCUCCAUGUGCUGAUCCGUCCUUUCCAACUUGGUGCCAGGCUCCAUGUGCUGAUCCGUCCUUUCCAACUCGCGAUGCUGCACGGCGCCAUGAGCUCAGCCCCAGCCCUCCCUGCUCCUGCCCGACAACUUCAUCGCAUGUAUUCAAUUAAGGCUAGCCGAUAGCUGAAGGGCACAGAAACAGGUUAAUAUCUUAUCACCACCCACAGCAGAGCUUGAGAAUAUGCCGCGUUUCGAGAUUUGCCCCAAACUUCUCUCGUCAGCGGGAAGCAGCAAAGGGGCUUCUAAGGUAUCCCGGCACCUCCGUGCGCUUUGAGCUCUCUCCAGAGGAGUUUCGCUCAGAACCCACCCGCCACCUGCUCGUGUCCGAACACCGCCUCUCGCUGACAGCCCCCUCCCGCCGCCCCCAGCGCGCUCCCCUCAGCCAGGUCGGGCGCCCCAAACCCGCUCCCGUAACUCCCACCCUCGCGCAUGCGCACGCCGC